GCGGGGUGGGGGGGCCCCCCUCGACGAGGCCAGGGGCCAGAAUGGGGCUGACGGAAGAGAGGGAAGGAGGGCCUCAGUAAGCUACCAUCCUGGAGAUGGCCACAUGGUAAUGUGAGAGCAGCCACGAGCCAACACACUGAAGCCUUCAGUCCAGCAGCCUACUAGGAACUGAAUUCUGUCAACAACCAAGUGAGCUUGGAUCCUUCCCCAAUGGAGCCUUCAGAUUAGACUGUAGUUCUGGCCAACAUCUUGACUGCAGCCUUGUAAGAAACCUUGAAGCAGAGGACCCAGCUGCUGUGUUCUCCAGCCCGGAUUUCAGUCCCAGGUGAGCUCCCAGGAAGGGCAAGGGAGCCCCUCAGCUGCCCAUGGCAGCUCCCCCCUUGACUGAGGGCAUGGAGAACUAGCCUGGAUGGAGACACCGCUGUCAUCAGAGCUGGCUGGGGACCGGGUUCUGGGGGUGCAGACCAAGCCAUAGGACCGCCCCCCAAAGCCCGGUGCUGGGAGCUGCA